GAACGCCCGUAGCAAUACGGGAGUGGCAGACGGGAGAGUAACACGUGGGAACGUACCCUUCAGUUCGGAACAACCCAGGGAAACUUGGGCUAAUACCGGAUACGUCCGCAAGGAGAAAGAUUUAUCGCUGAAGGAUCGGCCCGCGUCUGAUUAGCUAGUUGGUGGGGUAAUGGCCCACCAAGGCGACGAUCAGUAGCUGGUCUGAGAGGAUGAUCAGCCUCACUGGGACUGAGACACGGCCCAGACUCCUACGGGAGGCAGCAGUGGGGAAUAUUGGACAAUGGGCGCAAGCCUGAUCCAGCCAUGCCGCGUGGGUGAUGAAGGCCCUAGGGUUGUAAAGCCCUUUCGGCGGGGAAGAUAAUGACGGUACCCGCAGAAGAAGCCCCGGCUAACUUCGUG
rnacentral:rRNA from 1 species